rnacentral:misc_RNA from 1 species
GUGUAGUCCAGGUCAGUCAAGACACAGCACAGUGCCAUGGUUAACUCUCAGCAUUGCUAUGUCCUUGGUUACCAUCAUAGAGACUACCAACUCCAACUGGAAAAUAACUGAUGCACUCUACAGCUGUCUAAGUCUGAAGCAACAUUGAAGUGAGUAGGCUAACCACCAACUUACAUCGAUGACUGAUACAACGCAUGGGGUGUUUCAACCCCAAUUGUUUUGCUGAAUUAUCUCUAGCAUAUUAUGUUCAACCAGAGCCGUCACCAAAAGGGCAGCUGUUGGUCACCGUCGUCAGAAACCCAAAGAAAUAACUUGACCAUCGGAGGAAGAUGAAUCACCCUAAUACUGUCACGAUCCAUCGGUCCAUCACCUCUGAAGUGUCAUCUUUUGGAACUAAAUACAGAUAUUUAUUUGUUGUAGUACAACUGGUAACUGGUUUAGUCGGCAUUUGUCUCUUUUCAACUGCAAAUUGGCACUACCAGAGCGGAAAACCCUAGGCUACGGUGUAAAUAAAAAAUGCGCGGUCCGGAGUAUGCCCCUACGCACUGUGCAACGUCUUUGCUAUAGGCAGGCAUAACACAUCCACCUGCAUUGAAGCAAAUACGCAGUGCAUAGUAUAAAUGAGAUUUUCGAAGGUACAUGUAUGUUUUUACAGUCGGCACCUCAUGUAUGUGAACGGGUAAGCCAGUUAUGCACUUGGUGCAAUGGACUCCGAUGUUUUAGCUAUCAUCUAAUGGGAA